GAUGAACGCUGGCGGCGUGCCUAAUACAUGCAAGUCGAGCGAACGGACGAGAAGCUUGCUUCUCUGAUGUUAGCGGCGGACGGGUGAGUAACACGUGGAUAACCUACCUAUAAGACUGGGAUAACUUCGGGAAACCGUAGCUAAUACCGGAUAAUAUUUUGAACCGCAUGGUUCAAAAGUGAAAGACGGUCUUGCUGUCACUUAUAGAUGGAUCCGCGCUGCAUUAGCUAGUUGGUAAGGUAACGGCUUACCAAGGCAACGAUGCAUAGCCGACCUGAGAGGGUGAUCGGCCACACUGGAACUGAGACACGGUCCAGACUCCUACGGGAGGCAGCAGUAGGGAAUCUUCCGCAAUGGGCGAAAGCAUGACGGAGCAACGCCGCGUGAGUGAUGAAGGUCUUCGGAUCGUAAAACUCUGUUAUUAGGGAAGAACAUAUGUGUAAGUAACUGUGCACAUCUUGACGGUACCUAAUCAGAAAGCCACGGCUAACUACGUG
rnacentral:rRNA from 1 species